rnacentral:rRNA from 1 species
GCCAGCAGCCAUAUCACCCUGCAGCUCUCAACUGGCUACCCACUGAAGCUAAGCAGGAUGGAGCCCAGUCAGUACCUGGAUGGGAGACCUCCUGGGAAGCUAUGGUUGCUGCUGGAA